rnacentral:rRNA from 1 species
CCUACGGGGGGCAGCAGUGGGGAAUCUUGCGCAAUGCGCGAAAGCGUGACGCAGCAACGCCGCGUGAGGGAAGACGGCCUUCGGGUUGUAAACCUCUUUCAGUUGGGACGAAGCCACGACGGUUAAUACCCGUCUGUGGUGACGGUACCUUCAGAAGAAGCCCCGGCUAACUACGUGCCAGCAGCCGCGGUAAUACGUAGGGGGCAAGCGUUGUCCGGAAUUAUUGGGCGUAAAGCGCGUGUAGGCGGCUCGAUAAGUCCGCUCUGAAAGCCUAG